rnacentral:rRNA from 1 species
AUUGAACGCUAGCGGGAUGCUUUACACAUGCAAGUCGAACGAGUGGCGGACGGGUGAGUAAUAUAUCGUAACCUUCCCAGUAGCGGGGGAUCACUACUCGUAAGCGUUGCCUAUACCGCCUUCUAUUGGUGCCGCCUAUCUCGGAUUAGCUAGUUGGUGGGGGAAAGGCUCACCAAGGCAACGAACCGUAGCUGGUUUGAGAGGACGACCAGCAACACUGGGACUGAGACACGGCCCAGACUCCUACGGGAGGCAGCAGUGGGGAAUUUUGGACAAUGGGGGAAACCCUGAUCCAGCCAUCCCGCGUGUAUGAGAAGGCCUUCGGGUUGUAAAGUACUUUUGGCAGAGAAGCGGUAUCUGCAGAAUAAGCACCGGCUAACUACGUGCCAGCAGCCGCGGUAAUUC